rnacentral:tRNA from 1 species
GGAGAGGUGACCGAGCGGUCGAAGGUGCACGAUUGGAAAUCGUGUGUGCCGAAGGUACCGGGGGUUCGAAUCCCUUCCUCUCCGCCA